rnacentral:tRNA from 1 species
AGUGCAGGUCAAAGGUAAGCACGGCAGUGGGUAACCAUCGUUGCCCACUGCCGUCCGGAAAUCGAUCAAGUGCGGGUUCGAACCCCGCCGGGG